AUCGCUUCUCGGCCUUUUGGCUAAGAUCAAGUGUAGUAUCUGUUCUUAUCAGUUUACAGGCACGUGCACAGAUAGACCCCUAGUGGUGCUCAAGCACCUGCCCUUUUGCCCUGGAUGAGAAAAGUGCCCUAUCUGCUGGAGCCAAAUUUUUUUCUACAUUCAUCAAUAUUUAAAAAUAAAAAUUACCCUCU